rnacentral:rRNA from 1 species
AAAGCUCAGUAACACGUAGUCAACCUACCCUAUGGACGGGGAUAAUCUCGGGAAACUGAGCAUAAUACCCGGUAGACCACUUAUCCUGGAAUGGUUAGUGGUUAAAAUGAUUCGUCGCCAUAGGAUGGGACUGCGGCCUAUCAGCUUGUUGGUGAGGUAAUGGCCCACCAAGGCGAUUACAGGUACGGGCUCUGAGAGGAGAAGCCCGGAGAUGGGUACUGAGACAAGGACCCAGGCCCUAUGGGGCGCAGCAGGCGAGAAAACUUUGCAAUGUGCGAAAGCACGACAAGGUUAAUCCGAGUGAUUUCUGCUAAAGGAAUCUUUUGUUAGUUCUAAAAAUACUAGUGAAUAAGGGGUGGGCAAGUUCUGGUGUCAGCCGCCGCGGUAAAACCAGCACCUCAAGUGGUCAGGAGGAUUAUUGGGCCUAAAGCAUCCGUAGCCUGUUCUAUAAGUUUGCGGUUAAAUCUAUACGCUCAACGUAUAGGCUGCCGUAAAUACUGUAGAACUAGGGAGUGGGAGAGGUAGACGGUACUCGAUAGGAAGGGGUAAAAUCCUUUGAUCUAUUGAUGACCACCUGUGGCGAAGGCGGUCUACCAGAACACGUUCGACGGUGAGGGAUGAAAGCUGGGGGAGCAAACCGGAUUAGAUACCCGGGUAGUCCCAGCUGUAAACGAUGCAGACUCGAUGAUGCAAUGGCAUAGAGCUAUUGCAGUAUCGCAGGGAAGCCGUUAAGUUUGCCGCCUGGGAAGUACGUACGCAAGUAUGAAACUUAAAGGAAUUGGCGGGGGAGCAC